rnacentral:rRNA from 1 species
UACGUAGGGGGCUAGCGUUGUCCGGAAUCAUUGGGCGUAAAGCGCGUGUAGGCGGCCCGGUAAGUCCGCUGUGAAAGUCGGGGGCUCAACCCUCGGAUGCCGGUGGAUACUGCAGGGCUAGAGUCCGGAAGAGGCGAGUGGAAUUCCUGGUGUAGCGGUGAAAUGCGCAGAUAUCAGGAGGAACACCGAUGGCGAAGGCAGCUCGCUGGGACGGUACUGACGCUGAGGCGCGAAAGCGUGGGGAGCAAACAGG